UAGGGAAUCUUCCGCAAUGGACGCAAGUCUGACGGAGCAACGCCGCGUGAGUGAAGAAGGAUUUCGGUUCGUAAAACUCUGUUGUUAGAGAAGAACAGCGCAUAGAGUAACUGUUAUGCGUGUGACGGUAUCUAACCAGAAAGCCACGGCUAACUACGUGCCAGCAGCCGCGGUAAUACGUAGGUGGCAAGCGUUGUCCGGAUUUAUUGGGCGUAAAGCGAGCGCAGGCGGUCAAUUAAGUCUGAUGUGAAAGCCCCCGGCUCAACCGGGGAGAGUCAUUGGAAACUGGUUGACUUGAGUGCAGAAGAGGAGAGUGGAAUUCCAUGUGUAGCGGUGAAGUGCGUAGAUAUAUGGAGGAACACCAGUAGCGAAGGCGAAUCUCUGGUCUGUAACUGACGCUGAGGCUCGAAAGCGUGGGUAGCAAACAGG
rnacentral:rRNA from 1 species